rnacentral:misc_RNA from 1 species
AAGUCGUAACAAGGUCUCCGUUGGUGAACCAGCGGAGGGAUCAUUACCGAGUUUACAACUCCCAAACCCCUGUGAACAUACCUAUCGUUGCUUCGGCGGGAUGCCCCAGUUUGACGCAAGCUGGACCCAGGCGCCCGCCGGAGGACCCAAACUCUUGUUUCAUUUAUGUAUCUUCUGAGUAAACAAGCAAAUAAAUUAAAAUUUUCAACAACGGAUCUCUUGGUUCUG